UACGUAGGGUGCGAGCGUUGUCCGGAAUUAUUGGGCGUAAAGAGCUUGUAGGCGGUUUGUCGCGUCUGCCGUGAAAAUUCGAGGCUCAACCUCGAACUUGCGGUGGGUACGGGCAGACUAGAGUGUGGUAGGGGAGACUGGAAUUCCCGGUGUAGCGGUGAAAUGCGCAGAUAUCAGGAGGAACACCGAUGGCGAAGGCAGGUCUCUGGGCCACUACUGACGCUGAGAAGCGAAAGCAUGGGGAGCGAACAGG
rnacentral:rRNA from 1 species